AUGAUGGGAGGAGGGGUGGCGAUGAUGGAUCGGCGCAUGGCGUUCCCCGCCGACGGCGACGUCGAGAAGGGCUUCGGGUUCUUUGGAGCCGGCUGCUUCGUGGGGGCGGGCGACCUCGCGGACCCCGCGCCGGAGCAGCGGGCGCGGGACAGGUUCCCCGACGAGGAGGAGAGCGAGGAGGAGGACGACGACGACGACGUGGACGGCAUCGAGGAGCUGGAGCGCCGCAUGUGGCGCGACCGCAUGAGGCUCAAGCGCCUCAAGGAGCUGCAGCAGCGGCAGAGCCAGAGGCCCGACGGCGGCGCGGCGGCGAGCAAGGGGCGGCCGAGGCGGCCGCCGUCGCAGCAGGACCAGCAGGCGCGGCGCAAGAAGAUGUCGCGCGCGCAGGACGGGAUCCUCAAGUACAUGCUCAAGAUGAUGGAGGCGUGCAGCGCGCAGGGCUUCGUCUACGGCAUCGUCCCCGAGAACGGCAAGCCCGUGGGCGGCGCCUCCGACAACCUCCGCGCCUGGUGGAAGGAGAAGGUCCGCUUCGACCGCAACGCCCCCGCGGCCAUCGCCAAGCACCGGUCCGACAACGCCGCGCCGCUCUGCGGCGGGGAAGACGGAGCGGGGGCGGCGGCCGGCCCGCGCUCCCUGCACGAGCUGCAGGACACCACGCUCGGCUCCCUGCUCUCGUCGCUCAUGCAGCACUGCGACCCGCCGCAGCGCCGGUUCCCGCUCGAGAAGGGCGUGCCGCCGCCGUGGUGGCCGCAGGGACCGUCCGAGGCGUGGUGGCCGGAGGCCGGCGUGCCCGACGACCUCGGCCCGCCGCCGUACAAGAAGCCGCACGACCUCAAGAAGGCGUGGAAGGUCGCCGUGCUCACCGCCGUCAUCAAGCACAUGUCGCCCGACGUCGACAAGGUCCGCCGCCUCGUGCGGCAGUCCAAGUGCCUGCAGGACAAGAUGACCGCCAGGGAGAUCGUCACAUGGCUCGCCGUGCUCAAGGCGGAGGAGGAGCUCAGCCACAAGCUGCAUCCCGGCGCCUGCCUCCCACCGCGGCCCUCCGCCGGCGCGCUGUCGUUCGACGCCAGCUCCGGCGAGUACGAUGUCGACUUCUUCGGCGAGGAGGCCGCGAACCAGAUCAAGGCGCGCUCCGAGGCAGCCCCGUUCGUCGACCUUACCAUGGACGCUUCCUCGAGCAACGAGUUCAUGGUCAUGCCGCCUGCGCUGAUGAAGGAAGAAACAACCACCGACGUCGACUUCACCCACGCCCAGAAGCGGAGCGCCGCCGACGCCGAGCCGGAGCUGAUGCUGAACGGAAGCGCCCGCGUCUACACCUGCGAGAACGUGCAGUGCCCGCACGCCGGCCACGCGCUCGGCUUCCUCGACCGCAACGCGCGCAGCGCCCACCAGUACACCUGCAGGUACAACAAUCCCGCCGUCGCCGCCGCCCAGAGCAAGCCGCCGUCGUCCUUCUUCCCUGGUGCGCCCUACAGCCCGCAGAGCCAGGCGCUCGGCGGCUUCGACUUCGGCCUGCCCGUGGCCGACCAGAGAUGCCUCUCCGGGCUGAUGAGCAUGUACGAGACCGGCGUGGCCGCGCACAGGGGCGCAACCAACGACGCCGACGCUCCCGGCAUGCAGCUCGGCGGCGGCAACGUUCUGGCGCCACGCUCGCUUGCUGGCGCGAACAACGUGAUGCAGCAGCAGCAGCAGCAGCAGCAGCAGAGCGCGGCGUUCUUCAUGGGCGACGACGCGCCGUUCGGCAUGGCGGCGCCGGAGCUGGGCAGGUUCGGCCCAGGGUUCGACCUGUCAGCGGCGGACUACGCCGGCGCCAUGCAGCAGCCGCAGCCGCAGAAGCACGUUGGACCCAACUGGUUCUACUGA
rnacentral:rRNA from 1 species